UGGUAAAUGUUCUGCUGCCGGUGAUGGU
rnacentral:piRNA from 1 species